rnacentral:lncRNA from 1 species
UGGGGUCGCAAAGAGUUGGACAUGACUGAGUGACUGAACUGAACUGAAGCCUGGCUGCUUACCAGGGGCAGUGUAAGCUCCCGUGAACUCAAAAGCCAGGGAAGAUGCAGAGACCCAACUUCUGCUUUCAAGAAGAUGUGGCCAGAGUUUGCCACACUCUUGAGGCCGUAUCUGCCCUCUUGUCAUGUAGAGCACAAUGACGAUCAAAUGCCUGGAGACAGUUCCCUUCCAGGUUCAAAUGUUCUCUCGUGGGCUUACUCUCUGCAUACGUUUAGCCUGGAGGUUUCUGCGACCCCCAGGCCAACUUCACCAGCGAGCAUCUCAGUGCUGGGCCAGAUCUGCAGCCAAGAGCUAUGCAUGUUUGUCCUUCCUACCUUGGGCCCUCCAGGCAGGGUCCUUUCAUGUGGGUUCCUGAACCAUGGCAGGGCUCACAAUCCUCCAUCUAUUCCCAAGGGCAGGUGCAGAGCUUUGGCCUUCUCAAUAGUAUUUUUGUGUGCCCCCACCGCCCCCAUUUCAUACACUCGGCAGUAGGUUCAGACAGUGAGGGGUGGUAAGUAUCUACAUGCAUGCAGCCUGUCUCAGAAAUAAUUUAGAAAGUGACGUACACUAAUUGGGCUGCUUUAAAAAUACUUCAGUUUUUAACAGCUAGUGGAAAUGCUACUAUUGAGCCAUUCUCAACAUCAUCAUGCUCUGGGCUCAUUUUCACAACUAACUACAAAAUAAUUUUAUCUUGGGUAUAAGACAGGAGUUAGUUUUGGUUCCACUCCCCAUCCUAUGAUAGGAAUCCUGGCUUGUUCUUACUUGCAGUUUUUACUUCAAGUUCCCUUAAUUUACAAGGAAACUUGUCUAAGGGUGAUCCAGCAAUAGUAGAGCGUUUGUUUGCUAAUUCCAGCCGCUGCAGGAAGACAAUGACCCUGUACCCUCCACUGAUCUGCAGCAAGAGGAAAUUUCUGAAUGAUCCCCCCCACACAGCCCCGCAGCUUUGCACGCUCCACUGGGUCUAAAAUACAAAACAUCAGCUCCUAGCAGUGGGCUUUCAAACAAACCAAUUUUUAAAAAGGAAUGUGGCUUACCCCAAAAAGAAGUUGAACGUUCCAGUU